AAUGCACAGGCUGUGAACUCGAUGAGUAGGGCGGGACACGUGACAUCCUGUCUGAAUAUGGGGGGACCAUCCUCCAAGGCUAAAUACUCCUGACUGACCGAUAGUGAACCAGUACCGUGAGGGAAAGGCGAAAAGAACCCCGGCGAGGGGAGUGAAAUAGAACCUGAAACCGUGUACGUACAAGCAGUGGGAGCACCUUCGUGGUGUGACUGCGUACCUUUUGUAUAAUGGGUCAGCGACUUAUAUUUUGUAGCAAGGUUAACCGAAUAGGGGAGCCGUAGGGAAACCGAGUCUUAACUGGGCGUCUAGUUGCAAGGUAUAGACCCGAAACCCGGUGAUCUAGCCAUGGGCAGGUUGAAGGUUGGGUAACACUAACUGGAGGACCGAACCGACUAAUGUUGAAAAAUUAGCGGAUGACUUGUGGCUGGGGGUGAAAGGCCAAUCAAACCGGGAGAUAGCUGGUUCUCCCCGAAAGCUAUUUAGGUAGCGCCUCGUGAACUCAUCUUCGGGGGUAGAGCACUGUUUCGGCUAGGGGGCCAUCCCGGCUUACCAAACCGAUGCAAACUCCGAAUACCGAAGAAUGUUAUCACGGGAGACACACGGCGGGUGCUAACGUCCGUCGUGAAGAGGGAAACAACCCAGACCGCCAGCUAAGGUCCCAAAGUCAUGGUUAAGGGGGAAACGAUGUGGGAAGGCACAGACAGCCAGGAUGUUGGCUUAGAAGCAGCCAUCAUUUAAAGAAAGCGUAAUAGCUCACUGGUCGAGUCGGCCUGCGCGGAAGAUGUAACGGGGCUAAACCAUGCACCGAAGCUGCGGCAGCGACGUUUAGGCGUUGUUGGGUAGGGGAGCGUUCUGUAAGCCGUUGAAGGUGACCUGUGAGGGUUGCUGGAGGUAUCAGAAGUGCGAAUGCUGACAUAAGUAACGAUAAUGCGGGUGAAAAACCCGCACGCCGGAAGACCAAGGGUUCCUGUCCAACGUUAAUCGGGGCAGGGUGAGUCGACCCCUAAGGCGAGGCUGAAAAGCGUAGUCGAUGGGAAACAGGUUAAUAUUCCUGUAC
rnacentral:rRNA from 1 species